GCCCGAGUGGUGAAAUCGGUAGACGCAGGGGACUCAAAAUCCCCCGCCGCAAGGCGUGCCGGUUCGAGUCCGGCCUCGGGCACCA
rnacentral:tRNA from 2 species